GGAGAGGUGGCCGAGUGGUCUAAGGCGCUGCAACCCCAACUUGAGUGUAGUCGUGGGUUCAAAUCCCUCCCUCUCCU
rnacentral:tRNA from 1 species